UACGUAGGGACCAAGCGUUGUUCGGAUUACUGGGCGUAAAGGGCGCGUAGGCGGCAAUUCAAGUCAUCUGUGAAAUCUCCGGGCUUAACCCGGAACGGCCAGGUGAUACUGUUUUGCUAGAGUGCGGAAGGGGCAAUCGGAAUUCUCGGGUGUAGCGGUGAAAUGCGUAGAUAUCGAGAGGAACACCAGAGGUGAAGACGGGUUGCUGGGCCGACACUGACGCUGACAGCGCGAAAGCCAGGGGAGCAAACGGG
rnacentral:rRNA from 1 species